UUUAGGUCCAGAAGCUACACAAUACUUUUAAGCUAAUAUUUUCUAAAAGUAACAGGAGCUCAAGCAGUAGAACAUUUGAAAUGCUGGUACUCCGCUCUGGUGAGUCAAGCACUGCUACUUUGCCAGCCAGGAAAGGUAGAGGAUAACAGAUUUAAAUACUGUGUUAACACACUUAGCUAAAGCCUAUAGAGACUCACAUUGGAAGUAUAAAAAAUACCCAUAAAACCUAGCGGUCAAACAGGGAAACAGUUCCAGUUGUUUUUCCACCAUUCAUUUUUUUUCAUAGGGGAUUUUAGAAACACUUAAAAUAGGAGCUGUGUUUUGUGUAGGCUUACCCUGGCGUGACGUUUUGAUAAACCAUUUAAAUCUCUCUCGGAGAAGGUGACAUAAAUAUAUUUGUCUAUUUACUCUCAGAUUCGAAAAACGAAUUAGAAUAAAAGUAGACAUGCAAGACUAGAAAUCCCUGCAAGCUCCUGCACAUCAUCUCUGACACCUUUGUUAACAGGUAUUAUAUCAAUUUAAAACUUGCACAGGACAGUUCACAGAAUUGUCCACUUAAAAUACAUUUUUGCCAAUUUAUUCAUUACUACAUGGUAGUUAAUCUAGAGAUGAUCUAGAUAGAGACUGCUUCAAUUAGGCAGUCUCGUCCAGAUCAUCGUGGUAUUUGUAGUUCUUUAUAAUAGCCACAUGAGCAGUUUCAUUUGACUAGGCAAGUCAGUAAGAACAAAUUCCUUUUUUCAAUGACAGCUUAGGAACAGUGGGUUAACUGCCUUGCUCAAGGGCAGAACAACCUUUCAGUUACUAGUUCAACGCUCUAACCACUAGGCUACCUGUCACCUCAGGUAGGUAGUUAAUUAGAAUUUCAUUUUGGGGGAUUAAAUACAGGCUAAUUUAGUGAUAAAAGUCACCUUGUCCCAUGGAGAUUUACACGGUUAUCAAAAUGGCAGUCCACACAAAACACAGCCUUUAUCUUAAGUGUUUCUAAAAAUUUAAAAAAGAACGGUGUUUGACCGCUAGGUUUUUAUGGGUAUUGUGACUCAUACUGUGGUACUCUAUUUGGAUACAUUCAGGAAGUUCAUAUAAAGGACUGCACCCUGCUUGCUUAUCAAGUACCGCUUAAAGUGCCAGGGCCCUCAUUUAUCAAUGUUGCGUAGAAAAGCUUCUAACUUAAUUGUACGAAGAAAAUGUAGAAUGUUCGCAAGUACAACAAAGUUUGUAUUUAUCAAUUGCUCGUACACUUGAUUUACACACACGUGUAUGUAUUUUGCCUUGAUAAAUCAGACACGUUCUAAAACACUGCUAGUGCACCUGAAGUCUAAUUUACAUAAAGAACCGCCCCAAAUGACCAAUUAUGGUCAUAAACCUUCCCUUUAAUGCUGCAAGAAAUGUCACUCAUUUCUUUCCGCCAACGUGGAGAAAUCAAAGAAAAUAAACUUUUUCGCUGAAAUAGAAAUAGAACUUUUGAUCACCGAAGUGGAAGCAAAACAAGACAUACUUUUUGGAGCCCUCAGCAAUGGCUUGACAAAUAAGAUAAAAUAUUGCUUGGGAGCAGGUUAGAGCUGUGGUAAAUUCUGCCUCUGAGUGCAGAACAGUUAAUCAAAUAAAAUAAAUGGUGUGAUUGGAAAACGUAUGCAAAAAAAAAAGAUCCACAAAAGGGAUAGAAGUGCAACAGGAGGAGUGCAGAGUGACUCUUCACUGUCUACAAUGGACCAGCGCAUUGGCAGCAUAAUUGGAGAGACCUCAGUGUCUGGCAUCAUUUGAUGGUGAUACUGAGGACCCUCUCCCAGACCCUGAAGGAAUAGCAGACACCAAUUGAUGAUGUGGGUGAUUUGCCUGACCCCCUCAGCCAUCCCCAGGCCUACAAGAAGUGUGUCUGCUUUGGCGAGCACUUCAGCUGUGCGGCAUGUUUUGACUGACGCAGUACCGAAACAACAAGAGAUCAAGACAUCAAUUAUUGUACUCCAACAGCAGCUGGAGGAUGUAUGAAACGGCCUGAGAGAUUCCAGAGCUAUGGGUGGUGGGAAACACUCCGUCAGUCAUGGGCUCAUCGGAUCUGGGUGGAUCAUUCAGUGGAAGGCCAUUUUUGAAUGUAAUGUUGUGGCGCACACUGCAAGCCUUGACAAUGUAGCAAACCUAAAAAGGAAUUUGCACAUUGUAUUACAUUCACACAAUGGCAUUUGAAGAUGUCAUUCCAAAGGCAAGCCUUGCUAGGCUGGUAUUGCAGUAUGCCUCCUGUCCCAGACAAGCACAGCCAACGCCCUUUCAACAGGCCUAUGGUGCGUGCCACUGUUCUUGUGCGUGCGUGGCCUUGGUUGUACCUUGCAUCUUGUUGGUUUGUGAGGGGAGUCAUCAGCCAUGGUUUUUAAUGGGUAGCCCCGGUCUCCUGCAGUUAUGAACACAACAUUCAGUUUCCCAUUAGAGGUCGAACAUGGCAAAUAAAACACUAGUCACUUACCAAUAAGCCAUCCAUACUCAACAGCUCCCGUCUGGAGGUUAAGGGCAACUGAACUGUUGUUCUGCGCAAUGACUGAAUCAUGUGUCCCACCUGGCCACUACAAAGCCAAAUGUGUGUCACAGAUGACCUGCACAUUGACAGAAUGGAAACCUUUUCUGUUGACAAAGUUCAUUUUGUUCACUGAUGGUGCUUUUAUUGCGAUGUGGGUGCAGUCAAUUGUUCCAAUGACAUUGGGAAAUCCCUUUUCACUCUGGCCUGUUGCACAGCAGUGUACGGAAACAAUGUAUUGUGGAGUCAAUGAAAUAAUGCCAUGAAGGACUGCAGGCAAUAUUCGGCUCAUGGUUGGUUGUGAAAUGCCAGACCAAUGAAAUGCCAGUCUCCCGUUGGAAUGUUCCAGUGGCCAAAACUUCCAGGGUGGAGAGGACGUGGGUGUGCACUGGGGAUUGCAUUGGUGCGUUACGUCUCACUUUCUAAUACUGGAGAGAGUUGGUUGCAGAGAUACAAUAAA